CUGUCGCUGACUCAAAGUCGUGCACGCCCGAGUGUGUCGCCUCACAUAAUAAUCCAUCUCACCCUUUGUGCAUCACCGCGUGGGCACCCCUUUGGGAUCAUCUCGGAGGGGGCUCGCGUUUUCACACAAAACCCCCCUUUUAAAAGUGUAGAAUGACCUCAUUUAUGCGCUAACCCGCAAUCAAUACAACUUUCAACAACGGAUCUCUUGGCUCUCGCAUCGAUGAAGAACGCAGCGAAAUGCGAUACGUAAUGUGAAUUGCAGAAUUCAGUGAAUCAUCGAAUCUUUGAACGCACCUUGCGCCCCCUGGUAUUCCGAGGGGCACACCCGUUUGAGUGUCGUGAAAACCUCAACCUCCUUGGUUUCUUCUGGAGACCAAAGCAGGCUUGGACUUUGGAGGCCUUUGCUGGCACCUCUCGCCAGCUCCUCUUAAAUGAAUUAGCAGGGUCCUCUUUGCUGAUCCUCGACGUGUGAUAAGAUGUUUCCAUGUCUUGGUUUCUGGCUCUGUCACCUUUGGGACCCGCUUCUAACCGUCUUCAACCUUGCGUUGAGACAACGUUCGAGCAUGUCUCCCUUCUCGGGAAGCUCCCUCGACCCCACGAACCCUUGACCUCAAAUCGGGUGAGACUACCCGCUGAACUUAAGCAUA
rnacentral:misc_RNA from 1 species